CAGUCGCCGCGGUAAUACGAAGGGUGCAAGCGUUAAUCGGAAUUACUGGGCGUAAAGCGUGCGUAGGCGGUGAGUUAAGUCUGCUGUGAAAUCCCCGGGCUCAACCUGGGAAUGGCAGUGGAUACUGGCUCGCUAGAGUGUGUCAGAGGAUGGUGGAAUUCCCGGUGUAGCGGUGAAAUGCGUAGAGAUCGGGAGGAACAUCAGUGGCGAAGGCGGCCAUCUGGGACAACACUGACGCUGAGGCACGAAGGCGUGGGGAGCAAACAGGAUUAGAUACCCGCGUAGUCCCUGUCUCUUAUAC
rnacentral:rRNA from 1 species